rnacentral:rRNA from 1 species
GACGAACGCUGGCGGCGUGCUUAACACAUGCAAGUCGAACGGAAAGGCCUGCUUUCCCUUGUGGAUUGCGGGUACUCGAGUGGCGAACGGGUGAGUAACACGUGAGUGAUCUGCCCCCAACUUGGGUAUAAGCCUGGGAAACUGGGUCUAAUUCCCGAUAGGACUGCAGGGUGGUGCCUGUGGUGGAAAACGAUUUUCUAGUGGUUGGGGAUGAGCUUGCGGCCUAUCAGCUUGUUGGUGGGGUAAUGGCCUACCAAGGCGGCGACGGGUAGCCGGCCUGGGAGGGUGGACGGCCACAUUGGGACUGAGAUACGGCCCAGACUCCUACGGGAGGCAGCAGUGGGGAAUAUUGCACAAUGGGCGGAAGCCUGAUGCAGCGACGCCGCGUGGGGGAUGACGGCCUUCGGGUUGUAAACUCCUUUCGACCGCGAGGAAGCCACCUGGUUGGAAGGGUGGUGACGGUAGUGGUAGAAGAAGCACCGGCUAACUACGUG